rnacentral:rRNA from 1 species
UGCCUACGGGACGCAGCAGUGGGGAAUAUUGCACAAUGGGGGGAACCCUGAUGCAGCGACGCCGCGUGAAGGAAGAAGUAUUUCGGUAUGUAAACUUCUAUCAGCAGGGAAGAAAAUGACGGUACCUGACUAAGAAGCCCCGGCUAACUACGUGCCAGCAGCCGCGGUAAUACGUAGGGGGCAAGCGUUAUCCGGAUUUACUGGGUGUAAAGGGCGUGUAGGCGGGAAAGCAAGUCAGAUGUGAAAACCACGGGCUCAACCUGUGGCCUGCAUUUGAAACUGUUUUUCUUGAGUACUGGGGAGGG